UACAGAGGGUGCAAACGUUGUUCGGAAUUACUGGGCGUAAAGCGCGUGCAGGCGGCCUUGCAAGUCGGACGUGAAAUCCCACGGCUCAACCGUGGAAGUGCAUUCGAAACUGCGAGGCUGGAGUCCUGGAGAGGAAAGUGGAAUACUCGGUGUAGAGGUGAAAUUCGUAGAUAUCGGAGUGGAACACCCGGUGGCGAAGGCGGCUUUCUGGACAGGUACUGACGCUGAGACGCGAAAGCGUGGGGAGCAAACAGG
rnacentral:rRNA from 1 species